AAAGUCGUAACAAGGCUUCCGUGGUGAACCUGCGGAAGGAUCAUUAGUGUAAUAACGUGGUUGUCUUCGCGUUCGGCAAGGCAUCCGCACCCUCACAUCCAUAACACCUGUGAAACCCGUAAGAUCGUGGUUGACUCGUUGCCCAUCUGCCCCUUUAUCAAACAUCAGUAGUAAUAAAAGUAGUUAUAUUUAUAAUCUAAUAAAA
rnacentral:misc_RNA from 1 species